rnacentral:lncRNA from 1 species
AUAUUACAACAAUGAUAUAUAUAUGUANGUAAGUACAAAUCACUUUCAAAUCAACAUAGUACCAUUUAUCAGUAACAUAAUGUGCGCGCGUGCUCUAUAUGUACAUACAUGCGUAUGACAUUCCCAUACGAGUAAUGUACACACAACAAAUAUUUAUUUUAACCUAACAAUUCAUUGCAACAAUGUCGUUGUUAAAGUUCAACAACAUACAUAAAUUUGUUAAAACAAACAUCAGCUGCAACUCCCAGACUCGAUCGACAUUAUUGCUGAUCAAUAAAUAAUAAUGAAAAUAAACAAUCAUCCACUUCAAUAUAUUGUAAAUNCUGUUGACCACUCAACAUCCGCUGAACUCUGCCGUUAAGAACGCCGACGCCGCUGCCGUUGAACCACAGCUAGUUUAGGGUAUUUUUAAGACACAAUUAAGCUGUUCACAGUUAAAUAUUAUUUAGCAUGUUAAAUUGGCAAUAUUCCCAUAUUUACCGACGUGGUAUCUAUUUUGUUUUUGUUUUACGUGAAAAACAAUUUCACCACUAUUCCCACUGUGUUGAGCUUGUUUAUUAAUUGUGGCAAACUGUCAUCUCUGAUCAGCUGACUUUAUUUACAUUUGAAACUGGAAUAUGAUGGAAGCAAAAUUGCUAAAUCAAAACGUGUACGCAAAGUACCGUACAGAAAAUGGAGCAAUGAGGAGCAACAGAAAUUAAUUACAUACAUGCGAUUGAAAAGCCGACAGCACAGGUGUAUUAUUAAAAAUUUUUAGAGACACAAAAUCUGCGGUUAGAUUGGUUUUUAGUGAGGCUAAAGGCAAGGCACUUGCGCCAAUGCUAUACAAAGGCAUGAGCUUGGCAGAAUUCGACAGGAGUAGGUUCCAUGCAAGACGGCGAAUCAACAGAAAGUAUAAUUUUAAGAACUUGUCCUUUAUUCUACGAUUUGGAAGAUAUACUUGGCUAUAAAGAGUUCCAAUCCAAAGCAUUUGUUUUGGAUACAGAAGCCUUAGAAAACAACUCGACGUGAACCACAGACGAUUUCGACGCCGGUUCAACGACCAGAAAUGCAAAUGUAUCUACCACACCUGAAGAUAGUUUUCAAGAAGUCGGUCUAGAAUCUACAUGCAACACAAUAAAUCGGAAGGGUAUUUAUUCGCGGACAGGUCUUGCCGAUGUGCUUACUAUGCACACAGGUUUAAUUAAGGUGAAGCAACAAAAGUUAAAGAUAGAAUCAAAAAUGAAAGAUCUAUCUUCAAAAUAAAAAGAAUUUGAUUUACAAUACGAAAAAUUAUUUGAAAAAGAAAAAUGCAAUUCAGAAGAGAGAAUAAGAAUACUAGAAAUUGAAAUGAAAGAAAAAUUGGCUUUAAGAGAGCUUGUAAAAAAAAGUUAAAGAUAGAAUCAAAAAUGAAAGAUAGGGAGCUAUCUUCAAAAUAAAAAGAAUUUGAUUUACAAGACGAAAAAUUUUUAUUUGAAAAAGAGAAAUGCAAUUCAGAAGAGAGAAUAAGAAUACUAGAAAUUGAAAUGAACGAAAAAUUGGCUUUAAGAGAGCUUGAAGGAACGAAUAGCAAUGGAGGAAUUAAAAAAUAAAACUAUACAUAUAUACUACAUACAAUUAAAUAAUUAUAUCUUUAUUGUUUACAAAAUGUG